GAUGAACGCUGGCGGCGGGCCUAACACAUGCAAGUCGAGCGAACAGACAAUGAGCGUGCUCUUUUGACGUUGGCGGCGGACGGGUGAGUAACACGUCGGUCACCUACUUAUUUUACGUGGAUAAUUUCGGGAAACCGGAGCCGAUACCGCCUAAUACUUGGAACCGCAUGGUUCUAAAGAGAUAGGUGGCUUUGCCAUUUCAUUUAGCUGGACCCGCGUGGUAUUAGUUAGUUGGUAAGGUAACGGCUUACCAAGGCGACGAUACGUAGCUGACCUGAGAGGAGGAUCAGCCACACUGGAACUGAGACACGGUCCAGACUCCUACGGGAGGCAGCAGUGGGGAAUCUUCGGCAAAAGGCGAAAGCCUGACCCAGCAACACCGCGUGGGUGAAGAAGGCUUUCGGCUCGUAAAGCUCUGUUAUUGGGAAAGAAAAAAUGUGGAAGUAUACGCGCACGUUUUGACGGUACCCAAUCAAAAAGCAACGGCUAACUACGUG
rnacentral:rRNA from 1 species